GAAUAACAGACAAUUAUCAUGAACAAGGAAAUAUAAUAAUAAUCAUUUUAUUAUUGCCUCUAGGGCAUAUUUCCAACAGAGAGCACGUUUGUUAUCAAUUCUAUAAUAUAGCUAGGUAUGUAGUUUAACAUUUGCCACUUUUCUUUUUUAUGUAUUCAUCCUUCUACAGAUAAAUUAAGGGGACUUCCAUGGGAAACACGUUAUGAGAUAAUCUUCGGAAUUUGUAAGGGUCUGCAUUAUCUUCACGAAGAAAAAAGAAUUGUUCAUAUGGAUCUUAAACCAGCAAACAUAUUACUAGAUGGCAAAAAUAUGGUUCCAAAAAUCACCGAUUUUGAUUUGUCAAGACCGGAUGAAAACUCACAUACUACUGUUCAAUGUGUUGGAACGCAAGGAUAUAUCGCUCCAGAAUACCGGGACGCUAGCAAAACUUCAAUGAAAUGUGACAUAUAUAGUUUGGGGGUCAUAAUCAUUGAAUUGGUAACGGGAUGUAAGGGCCUCCCUGACGAACAGAAGGUACUUCGAAGAUGGAGACAUAGGUGGAGUAAGCCACCAACAAUACUACAACUCCAGCAAGUAACCAGAUGUAUUAAGAUAGGAGUGAGGUGCAGGGAAAAGAAACCAGAGCAUAGGCCACCUAUAUCAGAAAUAAUCAGCUUCCUGGGUGAACCUGCAAGCACCGAUGACCACACUAGCCGGGUACAAUCAUGUCUAUAUAAUCCCCUAACAUAUAUAUAAUCCCUCAUCCUCUAAAAAGCUAUUUUUUAGAUGAUUAAAUGUCUCUACAACUUAUGAUCCCCACAAAUUUCGAACACAAAUUUUUUCAUGCAAAUUCAUUUGGAACACACAUUUAAAAUACUUCAUUCAGAAAUUAAACAACGGCACUGCAUUAACAUCAACCUAGCAGACUAAAAAACUCAUUACUUAGUACAUUAGCAUUGUGUCGCCAUUAAACGAGCUAAACUUCAGUAGAUAGCAGAUAUAUAAUACGAGGAAUGGUACGAGGAGCUCUACUCCUCGUUGAAGGAGAUGUGGAUCACCCCCGCGCCAGAGGGUCGGCCUCCUCAUCAUUGGCCGUGGGAUAAAUCAUGGGAUGAAGGUGAAACCGUUGGCAUCUUCCUCCUCGUUGCCGGCUUUGCCAGUGAAGUCCAUGAAAAGCUCUGCGCGCUUGGCAUUGUGGCAAAGAGCUUCUUGUGCUCACUCUUGAUCGUGCACGUUCUCUCCACGUACGCGAAGAUCAUGUGGUGCUUGGUUAUGAGCUCCGGGUUGACGUAGAGCGCCGCCACGAUGUUGGCAUCGGCUGCCUCGGGCGUGAGGUGAUCCUCCUCUUUGGUAAGCGUGUGGAGGUACUUCUCCACCCCCUGGUCAUGGCAUCAGUACUGCAAGCUCAUCGGUUGGAGGGUCUAUCCCCAUCCCCUCAUCGUCCUCCUCUUCCUUCUCCUUGUGACAUAGGGGAGCUCCUAAACGUGUGGGGCGCCCCCAGUCACGACACUGUGUACCCUCGCGUCCCUCUGCUCGCCCUGUUUCGCCGGCCUAUGUGAGGGGCAGGGCGCCCCU